CUUCUUCAUCCAAGCUUCAACCACCAUAGCCAAUUCCUUCACACCUCUUCAAUUUAUUCGGGUUUCAAGAAGAAUUUGGGGGAAAUCACUCAAAGACUCUUUCUAAGGAUUUUAGUAGCUAAUUGAGAUGUCAUCCAGUGAGGGAUCCUGUAGCCCGGCAAACAC